CACACGACUCUCGGCAACGGAUAUCUCGGCUCUCGCAUCGAUGGAGAACGUAGCGAAAUGCGAUACCUGGUGUGAAUUGCAGAAUCCCGCGAACCAUCGAGUCUUUGAACGCAAGUUGCGCCCGAGACCACUCGGCCGAGGGCACGCCUGCCUGGGCGUCACGC
rnacentral:rRNA from 1 species